UGCCAGCAGCCGCGGUAAUACGGAGGAUCCAAGCGUUAUCCGGAAUCACUGGGUUUAAAGGGUCCGUAGGCGGUUUAAUAAGUCAGUGGUGAAAGCCCAUCGCUCAACGGUGGAACGGCCAUUGAUACUGUUAAACUUGAAUUAUUAGGAAGUAACUAGGAAUAUGUAGGUGUAGCGGUGAAAUGCUUAGAGAUUACAUGGAAUACCAAUUGCGAAGGCAGGUUUCUACUAAUGGAUUGACGCUGAUGGACGAAAGCGUGGGUAGCGAACAGGAUUAGAUACCCUGGUAGUCCAAUCACUAGUGAAU
rnacentral:rRNA from 1 species